AACGAACGCUGGCGGCAUGCCUAACACAUGCAAGUCGAACGAGACCUUCGGGUCUAGUGGCGCACGGGUGCGUAACGCGUGGGAACCUGCCCUUAGGUUCGGAAUAACUCCCCGAAAGGGGUGCUAAUACCGGAUAAUGUCUUCGGACCAAAGAUUUAUCGCCUUUGGAUGGGCCCGCGUUGGAUUAGCUAGUUGGUAGGGUAAAAGCCUACCAAGGCGACGAUCCAUAGCUGGUCUGAGAGGAUGAUCAGCCACACUGGGACUGAGACACGGCCCAGACUCCUACGGGAGGGAGGAGGGGGGAAUAUUGGAAAAUGGGCGAAAGCCUGACCCAGCAAUGCCGGGUGAGUGAGGAAGGCCUUAGGGUUGUAAAGCUCUUUUCCCCGGGAUGAAAAGGACAGGCCCGGGAGAAAAAGCCCCGGCAAACCCCGU
rnacentral:rRNA from 1 species